GAUGAACGCUGGCGGCGUGCCUAAUACAUGCAAGUCGAGCGGGCAUAGCAAUAUGUCAGCGGCAGACGGGUGAGUAACGCGUGGGAACGUACCUUUUGGUUCGGCACAACAGAGGGAAACUUGUGCUAAUACCGGAUAAGCCAUUACGGGGAAAGUUUUUUCGCCGAAUGAUCGGCCCGGGUCUGAUUAGCUAGUUGGUGAGGAAAUGGCUCACCACGGCGACGAUCAGUAGCUGUUUUGAGAUGAUGAUAAGCCACAUGGGGACUGAGACACGGCCCAAACCCCUACGGGAGGCAGCAGUGGGGAAUAUUGGACAAUGGGCGCAAGCCUGAUCCAGCCAUGCCGCGUGAGUGAUGAAGGCCCUAGGGUUGUAAAGCUCUUUUGUGCGGGAAGAUAAUGACGGUACCGCAAGAAUAAGCCCCGGCUAACUUCGUGCCAGCCGCCGCCGUAA
rnacentral:rRNA from 1 species